rnacentral:pre_miRNA from 1 species
CAAAAAGAUCAUUUGGGUUUUUCUGAUGAUGUUAUGGAAAACUCGAAUGAACUCUUUGGC